CCUAGUGAUGAUAGCGGAGAGGAAACACCCGUUCCCAUCCCGAACACGGAAGUUAAGCUCUCCAGCGCCGAUGGUAGUUGGGGCCAGCGCCCCUGCAAGAGUAGGUCGUCGCUAGGC
rnacentral:rRNA from 6 species